CCUACGGGUGGCAGCAGUGAGGAAUAUUGGUCAAUGGGCGCUAGCCUGAACCAGCCAAGUAGCGUGAAGGAUGACUGCCCAAUGGGUUGUAAACUUCUUUUAUAUGGGAAUAAAGUGCAGUAUGUAUACUGCUUUGCAUGUACCUUAUGAAUAAGGAUCGGCUAACUCCGUGCCAGCAGCCGCGGUAAUACGGAGGAUCCGAGCGUUAUCCGGAUUUAUUGGGUUUAAAGGGCGCGUAGGCGGGGUGUUAAGUCAGUUGUGAAAGUGUGCGGCUCAACCGUAAAAUGGCAGUUGAUACUGGCAUUCUUGAGUUGGAUAGAGGUAUGCGGAAUGCGUGGUGUAGCGGUGAAAUGCUUAGAUAUCACGAAGAACUCCGAUUGCGAAGGCAGCCUGCUGGACUCUCACUGACGCUGAUGCUCGAAAGUGUGGGUAUCAAACAGGAUUAGAUACCCCAGUAGUC
rnacentral:rRNA from 1 species